rnacentral:lncRNA from 1 species
GGGGAGUACAUGUGUCAUCUACGAGGAAACCGGGAAAAAAUUAUUUGUUUGGCAAAACACUUCAAUCUUCACUUCUUUUGUUGGGAUCUUGAUCCUGAGGGGAUCUAAUGACAUCAUGCUUUGGUUGUCGCGUGCAAUGUCCCACAGCUAAUUAAAUGGUGCUCUUCCACUCCCCGCCCUCUGCCAAUGGCCACCAUCAUCGCCUACAAUCGAAUCUACACUAGUCUACACUAGUCAUCCUAAUUAAUUUUCGAUCCAAUAAAAGUUAAUUAAGUAUGCAAGAAUUUUGUAUAAAAAUAUACACCAAUCUUCCUAAGAGCAAGUUCAAUAAUAAAGCUAGCCCAUUAUUGUUUUUAGGCUCAUACCAUGUCAUGUAAAGGCAGCAUACAAAGAAACAACAAAUACAAUAAUCUGUCCCAACUAUUAUCUCUUCCAGAAAUGGCCUCAUGCGUGAGAGAUGAUGUCAGUGUUCGCGUACACAGCCGUUUAGCCCGUUUACAUGCACACAGUGCCUAGCCGUGUCCGUUUAAUCACC